rnacentral:rRNA from 1 species
UACGUAGGGGGCAAGCGUUGUCCGGAUUUAUUGGGCGUAAAGAGCGUGUAGGCGGCCUGACAGGUCUGCUGUGAAAACUCGAGGCUCAACCUCGAGAUGUCGGCGGAAACCGUCUGGCUAGAGUCCGGAAGAGGAGAGUGGAAUUCCUGGUGUAGCGGUGAAAUGCGUAGAUAUCGGGAGGAACACCAACGAGAAGGCAGCUUGCUGGGGACGGCACUGACGCUGAGACGCGAAAGCGUGGGGAGCAAACAGG